rnacentral:rRNA from 1 species
CCCUGGUUGAUCCUGCCAGUAGUUAUAUGCUUGUCUCAAAGACUAAGCCAUGCAUGUCUCAGUGCAAGCCGUAUUAAGGCGAUACCGCGAAUGGCUCAAUAUAUCAGUUUUGGUUCCUUAGAUCUUACUCAGUUACUUGGAUAACUGUGGUAAUUCUAGAGCUAAUACAUGCAAUCAGAACUCUGACCAGCGAUGGAAUGAGUGCUUUUAUUAGAUCAAAACCAAUCGACGGAGGGCCUCGCGUCCGAAGUCGUUCAUUUUGAUGAAUCUGGAUAACUUUUGCCGAUCGCACGGUCCCGCACCGGCGACGCAUCUUUCAAAUGUCUGCCUUAUCAACUUUCGAUGGUAGUUUCUGCGACUACCAUGGUUGUCACGGGUAACGGGGAAUCAGGGUUCGAUUCCGGAGAGGGAGCCUGAGAAACGGCUACCACAUCCAAGGAAGGCAGCAGGCGCGCAAAUUACCCACUCCCGGCACGGGGAGGUAGUGACGAAAAAUAACGAUACGGGACUCUUAUGAGGCCUCGUAAUCGGAAUGAGUACACUUUAAAUAUUUUAACGAGGAACAAUUGGAGGGCAAGUCUGGUGCCAGCAGCCGCGGUAAUUCCAGCUCCAAUAGCGUAUACUAAAUUUGUUGCGGUUAAAAAGCUCGUAGUUGCAUUUGUGCUGCGCGCUGUCGGUGCACCGCUUCUGCGGUGAUACUGACACGUUUGCGGAGCAUAUCGUCGGUGAGCCGCGCCGGUCAAACGGCCGGUUCAAUAUAAAAAAUCCUAUCGCGGUCCUCUUCAUCGAGUGCCGAGGUGGGCCGACAAUUUUACUUUGAACAAAUUAGAGUGCUCAAAGCGGGCUCAAAAUGCUGCUUGAAUAUUUCGUGCAUGGAAUAAUAGAAUAUGAUCUCGGUUCUAUUUUGUUGGUUUUCAGAACUCCGAGGUAAUGAUUAAUAGGGAUAACUGGGGGCAUUCGUAUUGCGACGUUAGAGGUGAAAUUCUUGGAUCGUCGCAAGACGAACAUCAGCGAAAGCAUUUGCCAAAGGUGUUUUCAUCAAUCAAGAACGAAAGUUAGAGGUUCGAAGGCGAUUAGAUACCGCCCUAGUUCUAACCGUAAAUAUGUCAUCUAGCGAUCCGCCGACGUUACUUCAAUGGCUCGGCGGGCAGCUUCCGGGAAACCAAAGAUUUUGGACUCCGGGGGGAGUAUGGUUGCAAAGCUGAAACUUAAAGGAAUUGACGGAAGGGCACCACCAGGAGUGGAGCCUGCGGCUUAAUUUGACUCAACACGGGAAAUCUCACCAGGCCCGGACACCGGAAGGAUUGACAGAUUAACAGCUCUUUCUUGAUUCGGUGGGUGGUGGUGCAUGGCCGUUCUUAGUUGGUGGAGCGAUUUGUCUGGUUAAUUCCGGUAACGAACGAGACUCUAGCCUGCUAAAUAGGCGUCGACAUUUAGGUGUGGUUGGUGCCGGUCAAACGGCCCGAUCAACUCACUGGCGGCGUAAUAAAAUUCUUCUUAGAGGGACCGGCGGCUUCGAGCCGCA